rnacentral:rRNA from 1 species
GACACAAAGUUAAAAGGCGCUUCGGCGUCACCUAGAGAUGGAUCCGCGGUGCAUUAGUUAGUUGGUGGGGUAAAGGCCUACCAAGACAAUGAUGCAUAGCCGAGUUGAGAGACUGAUCGGCCACAUUGGGACUGAGACACGGCCCAAACUCCUACGGGAGGCUGCAGUAGGGAAUCUUCCACAAUGGGCGAAAGCCUGAUGGAGCAACGCCGCGUGUGUGAUGAAGGCUUUCGGGUCGUAAAGCACUGUUGUAUGGGAAGAACAGCUAGAAUAGGAAAUGAUUUUAGUUUGACGGUACCAUACCAGAAAGGGACGGCUAAAUACGUGCCAGCAGCCGCGGUAAUACGUAUGUCCCGAGCGUUAUCCGGAUUUAUUGGGCGUAAAGCGAGCGCAGACGGUUUAUUAAGUCUGAUGUGAAAGCCCGGAGCUCAACUCCGGAAUGGCAUUGGAAACUGGUUAACUUGAGUGCAGUAGAGGUAAGUGGAACUCCAUGUGUAGCGGUGGAAUGCGUAGAUAUAUGGAAGAACACCAGUGGCGAAGGCGGCUUACUGGACUGCAACUGACGUUGAGGCUCGAAAGUGUGGGUAGCAAACAGGAUUAGAUACCCUGGUAGUCCACACCGUAAACGAUGAACACUAGGUGUUAGGAGGUUUCCGCCUCUUAGUGCCGAAGCUAACGCAUUAAGUGUUCCGCCUGGGGAGUACGACCGCAAGGUUGAAACUCAAAGGAAUUGACGGGGACCCGCACAAGCGGUGGAGCAUGUGGUUUAAUUCGAAGCAACGCGAAGAACCUUACCAGGUCUUGACAUCCUUUGAAGCUUUUAGAGAUAGAAGUGUUCUCUUCGGAGACAAAGUGACAGGUGGUGCAUGGUCGUCGUCAGCUCGUGUCGUGAGAUGUUGGGUUAAGUCCCGCAACGAGCGCAACCCUUAUUGUUAGUUGCCAGCAUUCAGAUGGGCACUCUAGCGAGACUGCCGGUGACAAACCGGAGGAAGGCGGGGACGACGUCAGAUCAUCAUGCCCCUUAUGACCUGGGCUACACACGUGCUAC